GAUGAACGCUGGCGGCGUGCUUAACACAUGCAAGUCGAACGGAAAGGCCCAAGCUUGCUUGGGUACUCGAGUGGCGAACGGGUGAGUAACACGUGGGUGAUCUGCCCUGCACUUCGGGAUAAGCCUGGGAAACUGGGUCUAAUACCGGAUAGGACGAUGGUUUGGAUGCCAUUGUGGAAAGUUUUUUCGGUGUGGGAUGAGCUCGCGGCCUAUCAGCUUGUUGGUGGGGUAAUGGCCUACCAAGGCGUCGACGGGUAGCCGGCCUGAGAGGGUGUACGGCCACAUUGGGACUGAGAUACGGACCAGACUCCUACGGGAGGCAGCAGUGGGGAAUAUUGCACAAUGGGCGCAAGCCUGAUGCAGCGACGCCGCGUGGGGGAUGACGGCCUUCGGGUUGUAAACUCCUUUCGCUAGGGACGAAGCGUUUUUGUGACGGUACCUGGAGAAGAAGCACCGGCUAACUACGUG
rnacentral:rRNA from 1 species